AUGAACGCUGGCGGCGUGCCUAAUACAUGCAAGUCGAGCGAACAGACGAGGAGCUUGCUCCUCUGACGUUAGCGGCGGACGGGUGAGUAACACGUGGAUAACCUACCUAUAAGACUGGGAUAACUUCGGGAAACCGGAGCUAAUACCGGAUAAUAUAUUGAACCGCAUGUUUCAAUAGUGAAAGACGGUUUUGCUGUCACUUAUAGAUGGAUCCGCGCCGCAUUAGCUAGUUGGUAAGGUAACGGCUUACAAAGGCAACGAUGCGUAGCCGACCUGAGAGGGGGAUCGGCCACACUGGAACUGCGACACGGUCCAGACUCCUACGGGAGGCAGCAGUAGGGAAUCUUCCGGAAGGGGGGAAAGCUUAACGGAGCAACGCCGCGUGAGUGAUGAAGGUCUUCGGAUCGUAAAACUCUGUUAUUAGGGAAGAACAAAUGUGUAAGUAACUAUGCCCGUCUUGACGGUACCUAAUCAGAAAGCCACGGCUAAUUCCGUG
rnacentral:rRNA from 1 species